rnacentral:rRNA from 1 species
GAUGAACGCUAGCGGCAGGCUUAACACAUGCAAGUCGAGGGGCAGCACGAUGUAGCAAUACAUGGGUGGCGACCGGCGCACGGGUGCGUAACACGUAUGGAAUCUGCCCUUUACUGGGGAAUAGCCCUCCGAAAGGAGGAUUAAUGCCCCAUAACAAGUCAAGUGGCAUCACUUGGCUUUGAAAGCUCCGGCGGUAAAGGAUGACCAUGCGCACGAUUAGCUAGUUGGUGAGGUAACGGCUCACCAAGGCUACGAUCGUUAGGGGGCCUGAGAGGGUUAUCCCCCACACUGGUACUGAGACACGGCCCAGACUCCUACGGGAGGCAGCAGUGGGGAAUUUUGGACAAUGGGCGCAAGCCUGAUCCAGCCAUGCCGCGUGCGGGAAGAAGGCCUUCGGGUUGUAAACCGCUUUUGUCAGGGAAGAAACGCUCUGGGUUAAUACCUCGGGGUAAUGACGGUACCUGAAGAAUAAGCACCGGCUAACUACGUGCCAGCAGCCGCGGUAAAAC